UUUCACUAUUUUAAAAACAUUGUUCUUAAAAAAUCAUAAGAAAUUGCUAAAGCUAGAACAAAAACUAAAAUACAGCAAAAAACAAACCAAAACGAGAAAAUAUGUACGUGUAUGUAUGUAUAAUUUAUAUAUAUAGUUAUUUAUGGCUAUAUAUAUUUUUUUUUUUUGUAGCUUAAACACUUUUUUUCUGAUAUAUAACCGCCGGCAUACAAAUACAGGCACGCAUUAAAUAAUUGAAUGUAGGUUGUGACACUGGAAACUUGCACGCAACAUUUUUACAACUGUAUUAAAUAAAUCAACACAUACAGUCCUUUUUCCAGAAGGUUUUUGAACAUGUAUAAAAAAAACAAAUAUCUGGUCACAAAACAUAAAAAAAUAACAAUUGAAAUGGCAAAAAAGUGAGAUGAAGCAUACAACUAUUCCUAGUAUUAAUUUAAUUAAAAAAAACACAUAGUGUCUACUAAAAAUGGAACACGUUUUUGAACGUUAAAUUUUUAAUAAUCAAGAAAGUAAAAAAUUGAAAAAUGUAGUAAAUGUGCAUUUUCUUGAAGAUUUAAACAAGGGUUUUACUAAAUAGUGAGCAUUUGUGUUAAACAUAUUUUGGUUUUUAUUUAUUUAUCUAUUUUUUAUCUAAACUAAUGCAGUAGAAAAAAUAAACAAGGAACUAAAUGUUUAUUUCUGUAGCACCCCUCCCAGAUAAAAACCAACAGUGUUUCACAAAAAUAAAAUGGCAUAAAACAAUCAGUCACACAUAGAGACAAACACACCACAAGCCAGUAAAACCAAAGUAAGACACAAUAAAAGCCAAAAAUAGUAGUAACAAUAUUUACAAAAUACUUUUUGGGGCCAAACGUGGAUCCUUGUGGUACACCAAAUGCUCAAACAUGCUGAAUAAGCAGAAUUUCAACAAACUCCUGUCUUUCUACAAUAUUUCUCUGCCCAUCCUUUUUAUGUGGUUGCUGGAGCCUAUCCAAACUACCAUAGUGUGAAAGCGAGGCUAACGAUUGACGGUUCACCAGUCUCAGCAGAUCUCAUGAUCAUCUACCUUUUUCAAGACAAUUGUGAGUAAAAACAGCCAAAGGAUUAUUAACAAACAUGAAAAGUCUUUGUAAAAAUGUGAUUGACAUACGAGCUAAAAGAAGGUAACAAGCAGACAAAUCCACAGAGAAGCUCCUGGGAUUAAAAAUUCCCACUGGAUUCUGCACCUGGAGGUCCGAUGGUUUAGUAGCAGAGCCAGUAAAUCUUCUCUAUGUGCAGAAGAGAGGAAACGGUUCAUACCAGAGGAGAGAAGGGGCUCUGACAUUGUACCUCCACCUUUGUUUUAAUGGAAAGAUGAAAAAUAGGAUAAAUAUUCAAAGAUCAUAACUUUACUGUCUGAAACUGAGGGAAAACAUCAGCAUUUAAAACCUAUUUCAUUUAAAGUAUUAUAUUUAAAAUGCAUAAAGUAUUUGGUCAAAAUGAUGAAAAUGAGUUACAAGAUUUAAAUAUACGUGUUUAGCAUCAUCAAAAACAGUUUAAGUUCAUGGAGAUGUGGUUUCAUCUGCAGACAGGAUGGUGAGACCUCUGGAGGCUUUAUUUUUGUGAUUAUAUUAAUAUGUUUUCAUUUUUUAAAACACAAAUAAUUGUAUUUCCUUUAUAAUGUUAAGUAUGUCGAUUGAAAACGACCAAAUAAUUGAUCACAAAUAGGAUUUUCUUUUGUUCAAAAACCUGAGAUACAAACAGCUGGAUGUCUCAAAGAAUCACAUUCUUCCACUGAUUUCUUGGCCCCGUUUUCAUUUCCAAAUGUUUUCUUUCCCGGUGAAGUUCCUGCUCCUCAGCAUCUGCAGGAAAUGAUGCCAAAAAAUUUCAGUGUGAGCUUUUUUGUGAUGGGGUGGGCGGAGCUUGGUAGGUUAUUCUUUUAGAGCGACAUUUUAAGGGCUUUAAAGUGUCUGGAAACAGAUCAUUUCAGAUAACACAACCUGAAGAUGUUCUAUAAAGGAAUUUGUGAAUUUGUGUGUUUCACUACUUUUAUGAAUCACCAUUAUGUUUCAGUAUUUUGACCUUUAAUAUGACAUUUUAUUAUUUUUUGCGUCCUAACAUGUGAAUGUGUUUGUGAGUUUUAAUAUAGGAAGUGGACUGAGGGAUGCCUCCUCCCUCACAACCCAAACAGUUGGUACCCACUAAAAUUCUAAAAAAAAAAACACCUCAAGUCUUCCCAAAGGGCAUCUACAGUAGAAGUGGAAACCAAAGAACUGCCCACCUGAGUCCGGCUUCAGAGGCCACUGUUGCUGAUGACCUGGUUCAACUUCCUCCAUAGUCUUGGUCCAUGUCACUUGCUGUUACUCCCCACCUUAAAACCACGUGGAAGUCCUGUUCAUUCGGAGAACUCUUCCGGAGAAUAGCCAUGGCUGAUCCCUCGUUUGCAGCGUUUGCGUCUCUCUGUCACCUACCAUAACUGUCUCCCACACUUGGUGGCUUCGCCGCCAUUUAUGUGUGCGUGAGGGUGGCUGAGUCACACUGUGCCUCACACACCAUUGUGUCACCACUGAGUCACCCCUACCACUCAUAAUGCACAGGCCAGUGCACAACUGAUGUUUGUGGAGAGCGCGGAGGGUUCAGGGUUAACCGUUCAGAAGAUGAGCUGUGGUGACACAAAUGUACGGAGAGAAAAUAGACUAAUCUGAUUAGUGUGUAAUUCUUGAUUUGUAAUUUGUGUCUGCAUGUUUGUGUAUAACAUUGGAUGUUAGCGUACAUAAUUCUUGAUUUGUAACUUAUGCAAUACUUUUUGUACAUAACUGUGUAUUCUUGCAAUUGUGUUUUCGUAUGUACACAAGUUACAAAAUACAGUUUACAUGUGUACAACUUAAAAUUACAAAAGUUUAAACUAACGACCCAAAUCUUUAAAAGGUACUCACCAAUCAUCUGAUACACACACAAAACCACAUUUACGCACAAAUCUGAUGUGAGACUCCUCACAUCUCCAAGAUUUGUGCGUACGUGAUGCAUUUAAAUGUUGCUAGAAUGCUGGGUCAUCAGAGUUUUAACAGCUGCUUUGAAUUCAAUUCAAUUGAAUUUAAUGUUAUUUUUAUACUCUAAUAUCACAAAACAAUUGUCUCAUAGGGAUUCAUACCAGUGCUUCUGGAAAAGCAAAAAGUCUGUCAUAAAAUACAAACAAUAGCCGGUUGCUGAACUAAACAGACUGAACUAAACUAGACCCACCUUCUCAGAGAUGAAAAACUCCAAAAAAGAGAAAAAACACAAAUACCUUAUUCUUGCAAAAAAAGAAGAAACCUCAGUGAUGUGAAAGAAGAAUUCGUUUAUCUGUUCCAGAUAGAACUGGGGGAAGGCUGGGGGUGAAGUCCACUGCUAAGAACAGCCAGAGGCGCGUUCCACGGCCAAGAACAAGAGCACAGACGUUCCACCUGGAAGCUGAACUCUCUUGGAAAGAGGAACAACACAUGAAUUGCACUGCACCAAACAGAUGCAUAGAGAACUAAAUAAAAUAAUAAGAAUAU